GACGAACGCUGGCGGCGUGCUUAACACAUGCAAGUCGAACGAAGAGCGAUGGAAGCUUGCUUCUAUCAAUCUUAGUGGCGAACGGGUGAGUAACGCGUAAUCAACCUGCCCUUCAGAGGGGGACAACAGUUGGAAACGACUGCUAAUACCGCAUACGAUCUAAUCUCGGCAUCGAGGAUAGAUGAAAGGAGGCCUCUACAUGUAAGCUAUCACUGAAGGAGGGGAUUGCGUCUGAUUAGCUAGUUGGAGGGGUAACGGCCCACCAAGGCGAUGAUCAGUAGCCGGUCUGAGAGGAUGAACGGCCACAUUGGGACUGAGACACGGCCCAGACUCCUACGGGAGGCAGCAGUGGGGAAUCUUCCGCAAUGGACGAAAGUCUGACGGAGCAACGCCGCGUGAGUGAUGACGGCCUUCGGGUUGUAAAGCUCUGUUAAUCGGGACGAAAGGCCUUCUUGCGAAUAGUGAGAAGGAUUGACGGUACCGGAAUAGAAAGCCACGGCUAACUACGUG
rnacentral:rRNA from 1 species